GCCCGGAUGGUCUAGUGGUAUGAUUCCUCGUUCGGGGUCAUGUUACUUUCGUAAUGUGUAAUAACUCUAUCUCGAGGAGGUCCCGCGUUCAAAUCGCGGUUCGGGCC